GAGGUUCCCCCGACGAUCCCCCACCUCGAUUGGCCCUGGGACCCCAGCCCAGCCUUCGAGGCUGGCGAGGUGGAGGACCCAGCCCGACCUCGGGGGCCCCAUCACCUUCCCACCACAGUAGCAGCGGAGGCAGCAGCGGCCCUACUCAGGCUCCCGCCCUGCGCUACUUCCAACUGCCCCCGAGGGCGGCCAGUGCGGCUAUGUAUGUACCAGCACGUUCCGGCCGCGGUCGCAAGGGCCCACUGGUCAAGCAGACCAAAGUGGAAGGCGAGCCCCAAAAGGGCAGCAUCCCUUCCGCGUCCUCUCCAACAUCCCCGGCGUUGCCUCGGUCUGAACCACCUCCGGCCGGGCCGUCGGAGAAAAAUUCCAUCCCUAUCCCGACCAUCAUCAUCAAAGCCCCAUCUACCAGUAGCAGCGGCCGCAGCAGUCAGGGAAGCAGCACAGAGGCUGAGCCCCCCACCCAGCCCGAUGGCGCGGGCGGCGGCGGAUCCUCGCCUAGCCCUGCACCUGCCACGUCCCCUGUGCCGCCAUCCCCGUCGCCCGUGCCCACUCCCGCGUCACCCAGCGGCCCGGCCACCCUGGAUUUCACUAGCCAGUUUGGAGCAGCCCUAGUAGGCGCGGCGCGGAGGGAGGGAGGCUGGCAGAACGAAGCCCGGCGGCGGUCCACGCUGUUCCUGUCCACCGACGCAGGAGAUGAGGAUGGAGGCGACAGCGGGCUGGGCCCGGGGGGGCCCCCGGGUCCCCGGCUGCGCCAUU
rnacentral:lncRNA from 1 species